UACGUAGGGUGCAAGCGUUAAUCGGAAUUACUGGGCGUAAAGGGUGCGUAGGCGGUUCGUUAAGUCUGUCGUGAAAUCCCCGGGCUCAACCUGGGAACUGCGUUUGGUACUGGCAAGCUAGAGUACGGCAGAGGGGGGUGGAAUUCCACGUGUAGCAGUGAAAUGCGUAGAGAUGUGGAGGAACACCGAUGGCGAAGGCAGCCCCCUGGGCCGAUACUGACGCUCAGGCACGAAAGCGUGGGGAGCAAACAGG
rnacentral:rRNA from 1 species